rnacentral:rRNA from 2 species
GUGUAUUCCAUGUUUGUGUUGCUUUGGCAGGCCGUGGGCUUCGCCCACCACCGGCCUUCGGGGUGGUGCGCGCCUGCCAGAGGACUCUUUAAACUCUGUUUGUUAGUGUCGUCUGAGUAUGAUAAACAAUCGUUAAAACUUUCAACAACGGAUCUCUUGGUUCUGGCAUCGAUGAAGAACGCAGCGAAAUGCGAUAAGUAAUGUGAAUUGCAGAAUUCAGUGAAUCAUCGAAUCUUUGAACGCACAUUGCGCCCCUUGGUAUUCCGAGGGGCAUGCCUGUUCGAGCGUCAUUUCAACCCCUCAAGCCUUAGCUUGGUGUUGGGCCGUGCCACCGCCCUCGCGGCGCCGGCAGGCCUUAAAAUCAGUGGCGGUGCCCGCUGUGGUUCCAAGCGUAGUAAUCUCUCUCGCUCUGGAGACCUGGCGGCGGCUUGCCAGACAACCCCAUCUUCUCAAAAGUUUGACCUCGGAUCA